CAAAUUACAAGAAUAACCCAUUUAGUGUCAAAGUGAAAACUGAUUUCUUCAGGUGACUGCAUAAAUAUCCACUCCCUUUAAAGUGACUGACCUAAUUCAACAGCUAAUUGGUGAUAACUAGCAUUAGGCUGGCACUGGCAGCACUAGCUAGCUUUAGGCUGGCAUUAGCAGCACUAGCUAUCUUUGGGCUGGCAUUGCAAGGCUUGCACAGAGAAGUAUUGCAACGUGCGCUAGUAUUUGUGUUUUGAUGACUGUGUUUGCAAUGUCAUUACAAAUACAGUCAUCAGUCUGUAUUUGAUGACUGUAUUUUAAUGGCAGUCAUCAGUCAUUGCUGAUGACUGAUGCUGGUAACUAAUUUUCAACAAAGUAAAUGUCCUGCUGUAAUGGGUCAGACGUUCAGUUAUCUGGAAAUGUUGAAAGCAUGUUUUCUGCAGGAGGAAGAUAAUUUUUCUGUGUGGCGCCUGUUCAAUAUUAUUUCAUUAAUAUUCCUAAUGACUUGUAGGAAAGGAGUAAUAAAGCGCUACCUUUUGUCUUUUAGAUAUCUAAACCAAACUUUACUUAUUUUUUGAUAAAACAUUUUCAGUUCAUUGUUUACAUAUUGCAAAAUAAACUUCAAUUGAUUUGAAAUGGUGAGAACAUAUUAAAGUAUGUUCUGGGAGCAUCACUAGCUCUCAUCUAGAAAAGUUCUUAUAAAAAUCUGACCUGCUAAGAUUUAUGAUCCUGAAAAACACCUACUGGUCACAUGUACAAAUGGUGUUUGUCAAAAACAAGCCAGGGACUUGUUCUGGCGUCUGUAAGGUCCUGCGGUAUAUCAAUAGUCUAAAUAAUGACUCAGACAGAAAACAAGGUUUCAAGCUGGUGUUUUUUCCUCUGUUUGAAGAGGACAUAUCGCUCCCCGCUGUCACCAUGGAAACCAAAUUGUACUAGAAAUUCCUGUUGACUCACAUCGAGGGUCUCACUCAAAGCAAAAAUAUUCAAGUCAAAGUGGUGCAGAUGCCCCGCGGCGCGGCUUUUCUGCUCAAAAACCUUUUACCGGGACAUAAAUAUCUCGGACUCAGAUGUAACCAUGGAAACUGGCCACAACUGAUGGGCUUGAAACGUCAGGAUUGGCAUACACAAUCGGCCGGCUCGCACACGCGCACAGAGAUGCGUGCUCGCUGACAAACACGUACACAAACACACACACACUGGCAAUUAUUGUGCUCAUUCAUUAUUAUGCAAGACACUCCAGGCUGCAUGUUAUUGCGACUGUAUGGGUUAGGAAAACCGCAAAGCGCCUUACAUGUGAAAUUUAUGUUUAAAUAUGCGGAGAGAGUUUCAUAUUUUAGUGGAAGAUUACCAGCACAUUAACUGACAAGGAGACCAUGAAAAGAAAUCCAAUUUCUGUAAUUCGGUGUGUUUAAUUAAAAAG